AUGCAUCUAGAUUCGGAUCCGCGGCCGCAGAGUUUGAUCAUGGCUCAGGACGAACGCUGGCGGCGUGCCUAACACAUGCAAGUCGAGCGGAGAAUGCAAGAUGUUUACAUUGAGCAUUCUUAGCGGCGGACGGGUGAGUAACACGUGGGUAACCUGCCUCAGAGUGGGGGAUAGCCCUUCGAAAGGAAGAUUAAUACCGCAUAAGCUUGUAGCAUCGCAUGGUGCAGCAAGAAAAAGAGCAAUCCGCUCUGAGAUGGACCCGCGGCGCAUUAGCUAGUUGGUGAGGUAACGGCUCACCAAGGCCACGAUGCGUAACCGACCUGAGAGGGUGAUCGGCCACAUUGGAACUGAGACACGGUCCAGACUCCUACGGGGAGGGCAGCAGUGGGGAAUAUUGCACAAUGGGCGAAAAGCCUGAUGCCAGCAACGCCCGCGUGAGUGAUGGAGGGCUUUCGAGUCGUAAAGCUCUUUGAUCA
rnacentral:rRNA from 1 species